rnacentral:rRNA from 1 species
GACGAACGCUGGCGGCGUGCUUAACACAUGCAAGUCGAACGGAAAGGCCCUGCUUUUGUGGGGUGCUCGAGUGGCGAACGGGUGAGUAACACGUGAGUAACCUGCCCUUGACUUUGGGAUAACUUCAGGAAACUGGGGCUAAUACCGGAUAGGAGCUCCUGCUGCAUGGUGGGGGUUGGAAAGUUUCGGCGGUUGGGGAUGGACUCGCGGCUUAUCAGCUUGUUGGUGGGGUAGUGGCUUACCAAGGCUUUGACGGGUAGCCGGCCUGAGAGGGUGACCGGCCACAUUGGGACUGAGAUACGGCCAAGACUCAUACGGGGGGAAUCGGUGGGAAAUAUUGCAAAAAGGGCGGAAGCCGGAUGCAGCAACGCCGGGUGGGGGAUGACGGCCUUCGGGUUAUAAACCGCUUGCGCCUGUGACGAAGCGUGAGUGACGGUAAUGGGUAAAGAAGCAACGGCUAACUACGUG